rnacentral:rRNA from 1 species
UACGAAGGGGGCUAGCGUUGCUCGGAAUCACUGGGCGUAAAGGGUGCGUAGGCGGGUCGUUAAGUCGGGGGUGAAAUCCUGGAGCUCAACUCCAGAACUGCCUUCGAUACUGGCGAUCUUGAGUCCGGGAGAGGUGAGUGGAACUCCGAGUGUAGAGGUGAAAUUCGUAGAUAUUCGGAAGAACACCAGUGGCGAAGGCGGCUCACUGGCCCGGUACUGACGCUGAGGUGCGAAAGCGUGGGGAGCAAACAGG